GGUAAAACUUACCGGGUCCGGACACACUGAGGAUUGACAGGCGAAGUAAAUAUGCUAGUCCUUUCAUGAUUGUGUGAUAGGUGGUGCAUGGCCGUUCUUAGUUCGUGGAGUGAUCUGUCUGCUUAAUUGCGCUUCAGAUAAAUUUGGAUAAUAUGUAGUGACAAUGUUCUUAGUGUAACAGCUAACUCAUUUAACUCUAUAUCCAUUGAAAGCAACGA
rnacentral:rRNA from 1 species